UACGAAGGGGGCUAGCGUUGCUCGGAAUCACUGGGCGUAAAGCGCACGUAGGCGGAUUUCUAAGUCAGGGGUGAAAUCCUGGAGCUCAACUCCAGAACUGCCUUUGAUACUGGGAAUCUCGAGUCCGGGAGAGGUGAGUGGAACUGCGAGUGUAGAGGUGAAAAUUCGUAGAUAUUCGCAAGAACACCAGUGGCGAAGGCGGCUCACUGGCCCGGUACUGACGCUGAGGUGCGAAAGCGUGGGGAGCAAACAGG
rnacentral:rRNA from 1 species